rnacentral:tRNA from 1 species
GGUCUCAUAGCUUAACUGGACAAAGCAGCCGCCUUCUAAGCGGCAGAGUCGUGGUUCGAGUCCACGUGAGAUCGCCA